UACGUAGGCAGCGAGCGUUGUUCGGAAUUACUGGGCGUAAAGAGUGCGUAGGUGGUUGGCUAAGUUUGGUGUGAAAUCUCCCGGCUUAACUGGGAGGGUGCGCCGAAAACUGGCUGGCUAGAGUGUGGGAGAGGGAAGUGGAAUUCCUGGUGUAGCGGUGAAAUGCGUAGAUAUCAGGAGGAACACCUGAGGUGUAGACGGCUUCCUGGACCAUUACUGACACUGAGGCACGAAAGCGUGGGUAGCAAACAGG
rnacentral:rRNA from 1 species